rnacentral:rRNA from 1 species
AUUGAACGCUGGCGGAAUGCUUUACACAUGCAAGUCGAACGGCAGCACGGACUUCGGUCUGGUGGCGAGUGGCGAACGGGUGAGUAAUGUAUCGGAACGUGCCCAGUCGUGGGGGAUAACGUAGUGAAAAUUACGCUAAUACCGCAUACGAUCUAUGGAUGAAAGCGGGGGAUCGCAAGACCUCGCGCGAUUGGAGCGGCCGAUAUCAGAUUAGGUAGUUGGUGGGGUAAAGGCCCACCAAGCCAACGAUCUGUAGCUGGUCUGAGAGGACGACCAGCCACACUGGAACUGAGACACGGUCCAGACUCCUACGGGAGGCAGCAGUGGGGAAUUUUGGACAAUGGGCUAAAGCCUGAUCCAGACAUUCCGCGUGCAGGAUGAAGGCCCUCGGGUUGUAAACUGCUUUUGUACAGAACGAAAAGGUUUCUACUAAUACUAGGAGCUCAUGACGGUACUGUAAGAAUAAGCACCGGCUAACUACGUGCCAGCAGCCGCCGCGG